GGUUGAUCCUUGUUGAGAGCAGGAUUCAUAGGCUCGCUCGAUACUACAAGAAAACAAAGAAGCUCCCUCCCGUCUGGAAAUACGAAUCAACCACUGCCAGCACACUUGUGGCCUAGGCUGGAUAUGUUGCGGAGCAAAGUUUUGGGAUAUCCAGAGUAGAUAUUGUACUCUUGUGAGAUCUGGUCGUGGUUCACAACUAAUAGGAAUUCAUGUUAUGAUGGGAUGAGGAUGGAGUGG
rnacentral:misc_RNA from 1 species